AAAAAGGAGAAAGAAAAUUCUCUCAACAUCUACAAGCCGAUGUCUUAAACAAGAUCCGCAUAGUAACGAGGCCGAGCUUUGCGAUUUUUAGGUUUUUCUUGUNNNNUCCCCGCCCCAGCCCCUCCUUUUGCUGGGCCCUGCCCCCGCCGGCCCCGGUGGCGGCAGCUUUGAUGCUCUCAAUCGCAUAAUUGCAGACCUCUGCACCCGUGG
rnacentral:misc_RNA from 1 species